UACGGAGGGUGCGAGCGUUGUCCGGAAUCACUGGGCGUAAAGGGCGCGUAGGUGGCCCGUCAAGCGUGUGGUGAAAGCCCGGGGCUUAACUCCGGGUCGGCCAUGCGAACUGGCGAGCUUGAGCACUGUAGAGGCAGGUAGAAUUCCGGGAGUAGCGGUGGAAUGCGUAGAGAUCCGGAAGAAUACCGGUGGCGAAGGCGGCCUGCUGGGCAGUUGCUGACACUGAGGCGCGACAGCGUGGGGAGCAAACAGG
rnacentral:rRNA from 1 species